UACGUAGGGGGCAAGCGUUGUCCGGAAUCAUUGGACGUAAAGCGCGUGUAGGCGGUCCGAUAAGUCGGCUGUGAAAGUCCAGGGCUCAACCCUGGGAUGCCGGUCGAUACUGUCGGACUAGAGUUCGGAAGAGGCGAGUGGAAUUCCGGGUGUAGUGGUGAAAUGCGUAGAGAUCCGGAGGAACACCAGUGGCGAAGGCGACACGCUGGGCCAUACCUGACGCUAAAGCGCGACAGCAUGGGGAGCAAACGGG
rnacentral:rRNA from 1 species